UUAUUUCUUAAAUCUACUAACUACGUAUCCAAUACUAUCCAAGCCAUACGUAAAGAACCCCCUCCCAGACAAUUUGAAGCAUAGAGUAGAUCAUAAAGGUCAUCAGUUUCUGUGACACAAGAUAUAGAUUAACAAUCUUUAAAAGUUAAUCUAUCUAUAACAUAAAGCCAAAGUAGGGCGUAUGUUAUGUAUGAAUGUAGGCUAUGU